CCAACACAGCGAAACCCCGUCUGCACCAAAAAAGUACGAAAACCAGUCAGGCGUGGCGGCGCGCGCCUGCAACAGCAGGCACUGGGCGGGCUGAGGCAGGAGAAUCAGGCAGGGAGGCUGCAGUGAGCCGAGAUGGCAGCAGUACAGUCCAGCUUCGGCUCGGCAUCAGAGGGAGACCCUGGAAAGAGAGGGAGAGGGAGACCGUGGGGAGAGGGGGAGGGGGAGGGGGAGGGAGAGGGAGAGGGAGAGCACCGGGUGCAAAGUUUUAAUGUUCAGGAAAGAUUAGCCUUGUUCUUUUUUUUUUGAGAUGGAGUCUCACUCUGUCACCCAGGCUAGAGUGCAAUGUCGUGAUCUUGUGUCUGGAAUUGGUGGGUUCUUGGUCUCACUGACUUCAAGAAUGAAGCCGCGGACCCUCACAGUGAGUGUUACACUUCUUAAAGGCGGCGUGUCCAGAGUUUGUUCUUUCUGAUGGUCGGAUGUGUUCGGAGUUUCUUCCUUCUGGUGGGUUCAUGGUCUCGUCUCGCUGGCUGCAGGAGUGAAGCUGCAGACCUUCACGGUGAGUGUUACAGCUCUUAAGGCGGCGCAUCUGGAGUUCUUCGUUCCUCCCAGUGGGUUCGUGGUCUCACUGGCUUCAAAAGUGAAGCUGCAGACCUUGGCGAUGGGAAAAUUGAGAUUCAGAAAGGCUAAGGACCUCAUCAAGUCACACAACCAAGUGACAGAGUUGGGAUUUGAACCUCAUCCUCCCUACUCCAAAACUCCUGCACUUUAAUGACCUCCUGAUGCCAGAGUUGAGAGUAGUGAAGUACGAAAAUGUCCUGGUGGCAGGGGACCCUCUCCAUAGAAUGCUGUGUGGUUGUUUUAAUAUGAAGAGACAGGUUGCUUCCCCCGCUGUCCCCAGAGGGACCAUCAUUCCCGCAGUUGUAGCUACAACUGCCAAGUGCCCGGGCGCAGCCAAAGAGGGAAAAAAACCCAAACCAUCCAGACCCUGAGGGAGGGUCCUUCAUGGAAACUCGUCACAAGUGCCGGGAAAGUGGAGUCUUUUAUUGAAAGUGGGAAUACUCAAC
rnacentral:lncRNA from 10 species